AUAUUUGACAAUGGGCGAAAGCCUGAUCCAGCAAUGCCGCGUGAGUGAUGAUGGCCUUCGGGUUGUAAUGCUCUUUUACUAGGGAUGAUAAUGAUAGUACUUGGAGAAUAAGCUUCGGCUAGCUCCGUGACAGCAGCCGCGGUAAUACGGAGGGAGCUAGGGUUGUUCGGAAAUACUGGGCGUAAAGCGCACGUAGGCGGCGACGUAAGUCAGGGGUGAAAUCCCGGGGCUCAACCCCGGAACUGCCUUUGAAACUGCAGUGCUAGAAUAUUGGAGAGGUCAGUGGAAUUCCGAGUGUAGAGGUGAAAUUCGUAGAUAUUCGGAAGAACACCAGUGGCGAAGGCGACUGACUGGACAAGUAUUGACGCUGAGGUGCGAAAGCGUGGGGAGCAAACA
rnacentral:rRNA from 1 species